rnacentral:rRNA from 1 species
UACAGAGGUCUCAAGCGUUGUUCGGAUUCAUUGGGCGUAAAGGGUGCGUAGGCGGCGCGGUAAGUCGGGUGUGAAAUCUCGGAGCUUAACUCCGAAACUGCAUUCGAUACUGCCGUGCUUGAGGACUGGAGAGGAGAGUGGAAUUCCUGGUGUAGCGGUGAAAUGCGUAGAUAUCGUAAGGAAGACCAGUGGCGAAGGCGGGUCUCUGGACAGUUCCUGACGCUGAGGCACGAAGGUCAGGGGAGCAAACGGG